AGAUUGAACGCUGGCGGCAGGCCUAACACAUGCAAGUCGAGCGGUAGAGAGGUGCUUGCAUCUCUUGAGAGCGGCGGACGGGUGAGUAAUGCCUAGGAAUCUGCCUAGUGGUGGGGGAUAACGUUCGGAAACGGACGCUAAUACCGCAUACGUCCUACGGGAGAAAGCGGGGGACCUUCGGGCCUCGCGCCAUUAGAUGAGCCUAGGUCGGAUUAGCUAGUUGGUGAGGUAAUGGCUCACCAAGGCGACGAUCCGUAACUGGUCUGAGAGGAUGAUCAGUCACACUGGAACUGAGACACGGUCCAGACUCCUACGGGAGGCAGCAGUGGGGAAUAUUGGACAAUGGGCGCAAGCCUGAUCCAGCCAUACCGCGUGGGUGAAGAA
rnacentral:rRNA from 1 species